rnacentral:rRNA from 1 species
GAGCUUGCUCUUAUGAAGUUAGCGGCGGACGGGUGAGUAACACGUGGGUAACCUGCCCAUAAGACUGGGAUAACUCCGGGAAACCGGGGCUAAUACCGGAUAACAUUUUGAACCGCAUGGUUCGAAAUUGAAAGGCGGCUUCGGCUGUCACUUAUGGAUGGACCCGCGUCGCAUUAGCUAGUUGGUGAGGUAACGGCUCACCAAGGCAACGAUGCGUAGCCGACCUGAGAGGGUGAUCGGCCACACUGGGACUGAGACACGGCCCAGACUCCUACGGGAGGCAGCAGUAGGGAAUCUUCCGCAAUGGACGAAAGUCUGACGGAGCAACGCCGCGUGAGUGAUGAAGGCUUUCGGGUCGUAAAACUCUGUUGUUAGGGAAGAACAAGUGCUAGUUGAAUAAGCUGGCACCUUGACGGUACCUAACCAGAAAGCCACGGCUAACUACGUGCCAGCAGCCGCGGUAAUACGUAGGUGGCAAGCGUUAUCCGGAAUUAUUGGGCGUAAAGCGCGCGCAGGUGGUUUCUUAAGUCUGAUGUGAAAGCCCACGGCUCAACCGUGGAGGGUCAUUGGAAACUGGGAGACUUGAGUGCA